rnacentral:rRNA from 1 species
ACGGGUGAGUAACACGUAGGUAACCUACCCUUCAGUGGGGGACAACAGAGGGAAACUUCUGCUAAUACCGCAUACGAUCACGGACUGGGAUGUCCGUGGUGAAAGGAUUUAUUCGCUGAGGGAUGGGCCUGCGGCCUAUCAGGUAGUUGGUGGGGUAAUGGCCUACCAAGCCUGCGACGGGUAGCCGGACUGAGAGGUCGAUCGGCCACACUGGAACUGAGACACGGUCCAGACUCCUACGGGAGGCAGCAGUGGGGAAUAUUGCACAAUGGGGGAAACCCUGAUGCAGCGACGCCGCGUGGAGGAUGACGGCCUUCGGGUUGUAAACUCCUUUUGUCGGGGACAAUGGUGAUGGUACCCGACGAAUAAGCCACGGCUAACUCUGUGCCAGCAGCCGCGGUAAGACAGAGGUGGCGAGCGUUGUUCGGAAUUACUGGGCUUAAAGGGCGCGUAGGCGGUGGUGUAAGUCUAGGGUGGAAUGCUACAGCUCAACUGUAGAGCUGCCUUGGAAACUGCAUUACUUGAGUCGGUGAGGGGAAGGUGGAAUUCCAGGU